rnacentral:rRNA from 1 species
GGAUGAACGCUGGCGGCGUGCUUAACACAUGCAAGUCGAACGGAAAGGCCCUGCUUUUGUGGGGUGCUCGAGUGGCGAACGGGUGAGUAACACGUGAGUAACCUGCCCUUGACUUUGGGAUAACUUCAGGAAACUGGGGCUAAUACCGGAUAGGAGCUCCUGCUGCAUGGUGGGGGUUGGAAAGUUUCGGCGGUUGGGGAUGGACUCGCGGCUUAUCAGCUUGUUGGUGGGGUAGUGGCUUACCAAGGCUUUGACGGGUAGCCGGCCUGAGAGGGUGACCGGCCACAUUGGGACUGAGAUACGGCCCAGACUCCUACGGGAGGCAGCAGUGGGGAAUAUUGCACAAUGGGCGGAAGCCUGAUGCAGCAACGCCGCGUGCGGGAUGACGGCCUUCGGGUUGUAAACCGCUUUCGCCUGUGACGAAGCGUGAGUGACGGUAAUGGGUAAAGAAGCACCGGCUAACUACGUG